AUGCUUUCUAAAUUUCGAAGUACUUUUUUAAAAAUAUCUGAUUUAGUAAUUUUUUUUGAGCAUGUGUGUUAUCUAUUGAAAUUCAUGGUAUUUUAUAUAAAUCAUGAUCUAUAUGAUAUUAUUGUAUGAUGGUUACAUGUUACGGAAUGGAUUGGUAAAUUAACUGAGUGUACAUGCCAAUAGCUCUAAUAAAGACCGGAACAAUCAAAAGAGCUAGGAGACGUGGGUGAGGCCGGCCACCAAUAAUGUAUUAGAAAAAACCAAGUAUGAGAUCAUGCAUGAUUAAUUACUCAUUGAGCUCUUCUACAUUUGUCGUUGAGCCAUUAUUGAAUAGAUGAGCCACCACAUAGUGUCCUUAAUGCUUAUAUAUAUAAGGAGAGAGAGAGGACAGAGAAAUUGAGAGAUAUUAGUUGAGAGAGAGACACGGAUAGAGAGGGAGAAAUAAAGAAAGAUUUAGGAGAUAAGAGAAAUUAUACGGUACGGUCAGUUAUAAUCUUGAGAGCUAGGAUGUGAAAUCAACAGUGAGAUGAUAUCCGAUCUAGAUGAAAAUACAGUAUGGUUGUUUAUGGCUUACAGAUCAGCAUACCUAAUGAUCCCGAUUCUGAUUUGAGGUAAGCAAGAGGUAUACAAUAUGCUUUCUAACUCUGAAGUACUUUCUUAAAAUAUCUAAUUUUGUAUUCCUCUUGUGCAUGUGUGCUAUUUAUUAAAAUUCAGGUAUUUUUAUUGAAAUCAUGGUAUAUAUGAUUUUCUUGUAUGAUAACUAAAAUACUAUGAUAUUGAUUGGUACAUUGAUUGAGUGGACCCGCCAAUAGCUUGACCAACAGUCUAAAAAAAGUCAAAUAACUAGGUGAGGUGGUGAGGCCAGACAUCAAUGAUGUACUAGGAAAAACAAAGUAUCUUCAUAAUUGAUGAUUCAUUGAGCUCUUUUAUAUUUGUCGUUGAGUCAUUAUUGAAUUGAACGUAUUUUCGUUGUAUUGUAUAUUUUUCUGCUUAAAAUAAUUUUUCAUGUGUAAGUGGGAAUCGAGUAGUACGAGAUAAGUUGAAUAACAGAUUUGAAAACUUUUAAUAACUUUGUAUUAAAUUUGUUAGGAGACAUUGUACAAAUAAACAUUUGAAGACUAAUGUAAAUUUGAGAAAAAUAGUACUCUGAUUUAUAUAUAAAGGAACACGAUUAUUAACGGCCCAUUGUGAUAGAAAGAAAAAUGAGAUAUGUCGUUACAUCAAGGUUUCUCGAAGGCCACCUGAGCAAGACUUUCUGCUAGGGACCCUGAAUACUCGUUACAAUAAUAUCUCAUCAUAUCAAACCAUUUUAUUUAGUUAAAAUCUAGAGUUAGGUGAUUGGUAUCAGAGAUUAGGCUUUAGAUCUUACAUACGACCGAUGUGAGAGGUUUAGGUGAUAGAUAUUACAUGAGAAUGUGUGGGAGGUAUAAAUUUGUAGUUAUAUGUUUCAUAAAUUUAAAAUUAGACUCCCCAAAAUAUAAUUUUUGAUCAUUUUGGACCGGUCGGACUUUUUUUGAACGGGUUCAGAUGAAAAAAAAUUAAAAAAAUAAAAAGGUUCUGAUCAAUGCUCCGAUCGGUCGAACUUUGUCUGAACCAAUCGAGAAAAAAAAUAUAUUUUGGGGCCAGAGUAUAUUUUUUUAGCAUCAGAUUAUGUAGUAGAAGCGUGUAUUUUCUUUUAAAAACUUUUGUUAUUGAUAUAAAAUAAGACAUUUCAAAUUUUAAGGACGAAAUUUUUAUAAGGUAGGGAUAAUGUAAUACCCCUUUCUUUAAUAAUUUUUACCUUAGUAUAGUAAAAAAAUAUAUAUAUAUAAAUGCACUGAUAAAAUUUUAGUAAUUUAUCAGCAUUUUAAAUACAGAAUUUUAUCCAAAUUUUUUUAAUAAUAAAACUAAACAAAAAAUUGGACACAUGUCCUAUUUUGGAACACUUGUCAAACCAUGUGUUAUUGAUUUGACCAGGGGCCACCUCAUGAGAGUGACCCACCCAUGGCCGCCUACUUAUUUUGUCUUCUUUGAAGACAUAAAAAGAUCUAUAAAUGAGAGAGAAAGUAGAAUAAAGAAAGAAAGAAAAAGAGAGCACGGAUGGAGAGAGAAAAGAAAGAAAAUGAAAAAUAAGAGCCUAGAGAGAUUAUGUGGUAUGAUCAAAUAUGAUCAUGAGAGAUAAGGCAUAGAAUCAAUGGUGAGGACGCUAUCCGAGAUCGAGGUUUGAAAAUAAAUAUGUGUUUAUGGCAGACAAAAGGCAUAUCAAAUGGCUCGAUUUCAAUUUGAGAGUAAGUGCGUAAGUAAAAGUAUACAUUGCUUUCAAAUUUCGGAGUAUUUUUACAAUAUCUAAUUCUUGUAAAUUUUUGUGAGCAUGUGUGUUAUCUAUGAAAUUCAUGUUAUUUUAUAUUAAAUCAUGAUCUAUCUGAUAUAUGUAUGAUUGGUUACAUGCUAUGAAUGGAUUGGUAAAAUUAAUGGUGGCCACGCCAUAGUCUAAUAAAGGACCGGGCAUAAUCAAAAGAGCUAGAGACGGUGGGUGUGAGGCCGGCCACCAAUAAAGUUCUUAGAACAAACCAAGUAUAAAUCAUUAUGAUAAUUAUCAUUGCGCUCUUCUACAUUUGUGUUGAGGAACACUUAUUGAAUAGAUGAGCACCAUCUGGUUCCUUUAUGCUUCAUCCUAUAGGCGAGAGAGGGGGGACAGAGAAAUUGAGAGAUAUAGUUGCGAGAGAGACACGGAUCGCAAGGAGAAAUAAGAGAAAGAUUUGGGGAGACCAGAGAAAUGAUACGGAUACGGUCAGUUUAAUCUGAGAGCAGGAUGUGAAAAUCAACAGUGAGAUGAUAUACGAUCGAAAUGGUAAAAUAAGUAUGGUUGUUUAUGGCUUACAGAUCAGCAUAAUUAAUGAUCCUGAUUUGAUGGAGGGGAAGCAAGAGGUAUACAAUCAGGCUUUCAACUCUGAAGUACUUUCUUUGAACCAUCCAAUUUUGUAUCAUCUUGAGCAUUGGGUUAUUUAUUGGAAAUUCAUUAUAUUUUUAUUGAAAUCAUGAUAUAUAUAUUUUCUGUCAUGUAUGAUAAUAAAAUACUAUGGUAUGAUGGUACAUGUUGAGGGGACCGCCAAAUAGCUUGACUAACAGUCUGAAAAAAGUCAAAUCAUAAGUGAGGUGAGUGAGACCGACUCAGUGAUUGUACUAGGAAAACAAAAGUAUCUUCUCAAUGAGUGAGUCAUUGAGUUUUUUUAUAUUGUCCGUUGAGUCAUUAUUGAAUUAACAUAUUUUCGUUGUAUUAACCGUGUAUAUUUUCUGAUUACUUAAUGAUUUUUUCAAGUGUAGUAAGUGGGAAUCUAGUGAGUUACGAGAUGAGUUGAAUAACAGAUUGGAAGACUUUCAUAAUUUUGUAUUAAAUGUAGAGGACAUUGUACAAAUAAACAUUUGAAAGGAGACUAAUGUUUACUUUUAAAAAAAUAGCGCUCUGAUUUAUAUAUAAAGGAACACAAUUAUUAACGGCCCAUUGUGAUAGAAAGAAAAAUGAGAUAUGUCGUUACAUCAAGGUUCGAAAGCUACCUGAGCAAGACUUUCUGCUAGGGACCCUGAAUACUCGUUACAACAAUAUCUCAUCAUAUCAAAUUAUUUUAUUUAGUUAAAAUCUAAAGUUAAGUGAUUGCAACCCACAACACCACCCCGGAUGAAAACCCAUGUUAAACUAAUAUGUUAACUAAUAAAAAGCUAACAUAGUAACAUCAAUAUUCAAGACUUACGGAACAUACAUCAAUAUUAACAUUUCAAUGGCAUCAAUGUAAUAUCUUGGACCUGUUUAAAUACUUUAAUCUCUUUAAUUACGUGAUUAGUGACUAAUAAAUAUAAAUAUAAAUAUAUGCCUAAUGAUGAUUUGAUAUUAGCUAUUUCAGUCUGGGACCUAUUUGGUUCAAGUGUAAUAUAUGAUAAAGUAGGAGGUAAAUUUUUUAAUUAUUCUUUACUGGCGAAUUCUAAGAGUUCUAGAUUUUUUCUAGCGACGCAAAUUACAUUGUUGCGAAGCGAUUCGAAUCGUUAGAAUUUUUCAGCACCGAAUUUUAGAUCAAAUGUGAGAACCAUUUUCUACCGAAAAUCCGGAAUUUAUAAUUUAUAGAGUUGCUUCAAACUUUGUCUUCCUAAAAUAUCAGCUAAAAUUUGCUAAGAGAGAACCAAAAGAGUGGGCCACAUGCUAUCAUGGGCUCAAGUAUCUUAGCCACCUCAUGUGGAUGCAGAGUUACAACUUUGCUGUGUCAUUAGUAGUACAUAGCUCCUUGUUCAGUAGGAUAAGUACUCAUUCAGUCCUUGUGAGAACCAAUUCUAAGAAUGAAACUUAUUGUUAAAAACAGAUUUACAAAAUCCAUACGUAGGAAGAAUAUCCCACCAAAACAAAGCCAAGAAAAUAAAGAAGUGAAAAACAAAAAGCCAAAAAACACAGAGAGGUCUGGUGUUUCUUUUUCCUCUCUCAUUAACUUAAACUAGUAUACACCCGUGCCUGCAUUGUGUAAAAUCGACACCUUAUAUUCUGAUCAUCUCUCUGGAAGUUAAGGUGGUACUGAUUCCGUAAGCAAAGACGAAGCAGAAGAUAGGGCCAACCAAAGUGGGCAAAAAACACCGGUAACGAGAAGUCAUAUUCGAACCAGCUUCUUUAAGGAAAAUUUCACCGUGUGGGCGUACUGGUUUCCACCGUAAGUAUAUGGAAUUCGUCUUUGUCGGCCACUUGAGAGCAAAAGGCCAUGAUUGUCCAAGCAAAUGGAAGCCCAAGUAGUACCCACCUCCACCUAUCGGAUCAUCUGCCAUGGGUUGGAGCAUAAAGGUUCAUAAUUUUGAUCAGCGGAAUUAUGGAAUGUGGAGAGAGAGAGAAAAAUUAUAAAGGUGGUUUUUGGAAACGAAAAAUUAUUGCUUUAAAAGUUUCUGAAAUUUCACGUAUGGCAAUGAUUCUGUAGAAAGAAAAUCCUAUUUAAGGUAAUUAGUAGAUAAUACCGGCUGGGAAUGAGGAAAACCGGAGGAGAACAAGUCCA
rnacentral:lncRNA from 1 species